rnacentral:rRNA from 1 species
UAAACAUUGACAGUUAAUUACACCCACUGUCCGCCUGGGAACUACGAGCAUUAGCUUAAAACCCAAAGGACUUGGCGGUGCUUAACAUCCACCUAGAGGAGCCUGUUCUAGAACCGAUAAUCCCCGUUAAACCUCACCCUUUCUUGUUUUUCCCGCCUAUAUACCACCGUCGUCAGCUUACCCUGUGAAGGACCCAUAGUAAGCACAAUUGGUAAAGCCCAAAACGUCAGGUCGAGGUGUAGCUAAUGGAAGGGGAAGAAAUGGGCUACAUUUACUAACCAGUAAAUACGGACAAUGUCCCUGAAACGACAUUCUGAAGGAGGAUUUAGCAGUAAGCGGAAAACAGAGCGUUCUGCUGAAAUUGGC